rnacentral:tRNA from 1 species
GGGGCACUAGCUCAACGGGAGAGCAUCCGCCUUGCAAGCGGACGACAAGGGUUCGACCCCCUUGUGCUCCA